UCUCGAUAGCGUAAAAGUUAACUCAUAUUUGUAUGGAGUUGGAACGUUUGCCUACGUUUGCCGCUAGGGGCACUGUUCCAACUGCAUACAAAUUUGAGUUAACUUUAACGCGAUCGA
rnacentral:pre_miRNA from 9 species